rnacentral:rRNA from 1 species
GACGAACGCUGGCGGCGUGCUUAACACAUGCAAGUCGAGCGGAGAGGGGCUGCUUUUGUGGGGUGCCCGAGUGGCGAACGGGUGAGUAACAAAUGAGUAAGCUGCCCUUGACGUUGGGAUAACUUCAGGCAACUGGGGCUAAUACAGACUAGGAGCUCCUGCUGCAUGGUGGGGGUGGGAAGGUUUCGGCGGUGGGGGAUGGAGUCGCGGCUUAUCAGCUUGUUGGUGGGGUAGUGGCUUAGCAAGGCAUUGACGGGUAGCCGGCCUGAGAGGGUGACAGGCCUCAAUCGGACUGCGAUAGGACCCAGACUCGUACGUUAGGCAGUAGUGGGGAAUAUGGUCCAGCGGGGCCGAGCCUGAUGCGAUGGCGCCGCGUGCGUGAUGAAGGUCUUCGGGUUGUGAACCGCUUUCGCCUGUUACGAAGCUGGUUUGACGGUAACGGGUGAAGAAGCACCGGCUAACUACGUG